ACAUCAGUGAGGUGUAUCCUUACCUGUUACCUUAGAAUUAAGUUUUCAGUUCAUGAUGUUUGGAUUCUAUCAAUGUAUGAUUAAUUUCUGCAUUUAUUUUUGGCUGCAACUCCUAAAUAAAUCCUAUCUGAU